GUAGCCCUCUGUCUGGCAUCAAUCAUCCUGUGUGCUCCUCUUACCUCUGCAUCUUUGGUUCAUUAAACAUCCCUCAACACUUGCUCUCUAAAAAAAGCA